rnacentral:rRNA from 1 species
UGCGUAGGCGGUUUACUAAGCCAGAUGUGAAAGCCCCGGGCUUAACCUGGGAACUGCAUUUGAUACUGGUAGGCUAGAGUAUGAUAGAGGGGGGUAGAAUUCCUGGUGUAGCGGUGAAAUGCGUAGAUAUCAGGAGGAAUACCAGUGGCGAAGGCGGCCCCCUGGAUCAAUACUGACGCUGAGGUACGAAAGCGUGGGUAGCGAACA